GGGGGCUAUGGGUAGCAGAAUGGUGUAGGGGUCUUCAAACAAUAAUGGCUUGGGGGAAAGGCCAUGUGAGAACACAGAGAGAAGGGGCCAUCUCUGACCCAGGACUAGUACUCCCCAGAACCUGACCUUGCUGCCUUCCUGAUUUUGGACUUUGAGCUUCCAGAACUGAGAUGCCAUCUAGAAACAAGGCAAGAUAAAGCAGUUCCUCAUCUGUUUUAUGCUAUUCUGACUGGGGGAAGUAUGCAUUCCUUUCUUUCCUCCAGUGAAAAUAUGUGGAGUGUGCAGGGAAGAGUCCAUAUCCAGUUUUGAUUUGCCCACAAAGAAGUGGCAGGUGUUAAUCAACUAACUCACGAAAUCAAGAAGCCAAAGGCAAGUUUUUGUUUUUAAUCUGCCACCACGGACCCAUGCAAGUGACUGAAAAAAGCCAUCUGGCAGAAUCAGAGCUCUUGCCAUCUCCCUAAGAUUAUUCGAUUUAUUCUUGUCAGGAUUAAUUUACUAAACCCAUGCUGGAUUUUUUAUUUAGAUGAUAUUGUUGGUUUGUCAUGCACUGCAGAUCUACACGGGAGGCACCACAGGGGACUGCGCUUGCUUCUGAACAAUGUUGGGCUCAAAUUGGAAAAAUGUCACUUUGGCGGGAACAAAUUAUUGUUCCGAUCGCUCCUCGUAGAGCUGGUGUCUCCGGAUGGGCUCCGACCUGACCUUUUCCGAACCAGAGUAGUCGACCUCCUGGAAGAUCCCCAGCACUUCCACUGAUGGGUUCUUGUGCAUAAUUAAGGGAUUCAUCCGGAAACAUAUGAACCAGAGGGAAGAUGAAGGAAGAAGCCCAACCGGCCACUGAUACAAAUACACAAGACAGAAGCCGCAAGAACCAGUCUACCUUGCUUCAAAUCCUACCUCUGCCCCUUAAUAGCUCUGUGACUUCAUGAGGCAACUUAUCUGUGUCCUCAGUUUCCAUAUUUCAGAAAAUGGAAGAAAUGUCAGUCCAGAUACCAUCAGGCUGGUGUUAGUAUAAACAAAAAACUUGCCUCACUGUGCCCCCUCAACCUGAAUCACUCUCCCUCUGCUGACCCAACUACCUGCUUACCAAAGCUCAUUUCACCUCCUACUCUGCUCUGCUACUCGGGAACACACUGCUCUCUUCGGGACCAUGCUCUCUACUGCAGGACUGAUUUCACCUGGAUAUUUCCAGUAUACUUUAUACAUGCCUGUCUCUUCCAUGACAUUAUCAGCUCCUCAAAGGCAAGGGUACCAAAAUCAACAACUAGCUUUCUUCCAAAAACGUAAUUCUUAGUGAUAAAAUAUAUAUAAUUAUUAUAAAUAUACAUAUAAUAUAUACUAUAUAAAUAAAAUACAAAAUAUAAAA